rnacentral:rRNA from 1 species
GACGAACGCUGGCGGCGUGCUUAACACAUGCAAGUCGAACGAUGAAGCCUAGCUUGCUAGGUGGAUUAGUGGCGAACGGGUGAGUAAUACGUGAGUAACCUACCUUUAACUCUGGGAUAAGCCCGGGAAACUGGGUCUAAUACCGGAUACGACCAAUCUCCGCAUGGGGUGUUGGUGGAAAGCGUUAUGUAGUGGUUAUAGAUGGGCUCACGGCCUAUCAGCUUGUUGGUGAGGUAACGGCUCACCAAGGCGACGACGGGUAGCCGGCCUGAGAGGGUGACCGGCCACACUGGGACUGAGACACGGCCCAGACUCCUACGGGAGGCAGCAGUGGGGAAUAUUGCACAAUGGGCGCAAGCCUGAUGCAGCGACGCCGCGUGUGGGAUGACGGCCUUCGGGUUGUAAACCUCUGUUAGCAGGGAAGAAGAGAGAUUGACGGUACCUGCAGAGAAAGCGCCGGCUAACUACGUG